UUAACACAUGCAAGUCGAACGGUGAAGGAGAGCUUGCUCUUUGGAUCAGUGGCGAACGGGUGAGUAACACGUGAGCAACCUGCCCCGGACUCUGGGAUAAGCGCUGGAAACGGCGUCUAAUACCGGAUAUGAGACGUGACCGCAUGGUCAACGUCUGGAAAGAUUUUUCGGUCUGGGAUGGGCUCGCGGCCUAUCAGCUUGUUGGUGAGGUAAUGGCUCACCAAGGCGUCGACGGGUAGCCGGCCUGAGAGGGUGACCGGCCACACUGGGACUGAGACACGGCCCAGACUCCUACGGGAGGCAGCAGUGGGGAAUAUUGCACAAUGGGCGAAAGCCUGAUGCAGCAACGCCGCGUGAGGGACGACGGCCUUCGGGUUGUAAACCUCUUUUAGCAAGGAAGAAGCGAAAGUGACGGUACUUGCAGAAAAAGCGCCGGCUAACUACGUGCCAGCAGCCGCGGUAAUACGUAGGGCGCAAGCGUUAUCCGGAAUUAUUGGGCGUAAAGAGCUCGUAGGCGGUUUGUCGCGUCUGCUGUGAAAACCCGAGGCUCAACCUCGGGCCUGCAGUGGGUACGGGCAGACUAGAGUGCGGUAGGGGAGAUUGGAAUUCCUGGUGUAGCGGUGGAAUGCGCAGAUAUCAGGAGGAACACCGAUGGCGAAGGCAGAUCUCUGGGCCGUAACUGACGCUGAGGAGCGAAAGGGUGGGGAGCAAACAGGCUUAGAUACCCUGGUAGUCCACCCCGUAAACGUUGGGAACUAGUUGUGGGGUCCAUUCCACGGAUUCCGUGACGCAGCUAACGCAUUAAGUUCCCCGCCUGGGGAGUACGGCCGCAAGGCUAAAACUCAAAGGAAUUGACGG
rnacentral:rRNA from 1 species